rnacentral:rRNA from 1 species
GCUUACGGCCACACCGCCUGGUUCACGCCCGAUCUCGUUUGAUCUCGGAAGCUAUGAUAGGGUGGGCCUGGUUAGUAUCGAUGGGAGACCGCCUGGGAAUACCAGGUGCUGUAAGAU